GACAAAUCAGAAGUCAAAUGUGGCAUGUCAGACAGACAGCAAGGCACAUAUUACACUUGAGUCAAGGAUGUCAAACAACAAUGAAUUUAUUUUUAAAGGGAUGCCAAAACAGACAAUACAAUAAACUAUAUGAUGAUACUCAAAUCACCAACUAUUUUAAAACAAGGAAUUCUAGGGGACAAUUGAUACAUUAUCGUUCAAUUAACAUUAAAAAAUGUCAUGCUCCUGUUGUAAACAUCCUUGCAAUGGAAAUGCCAAAAAAGCUGUUGAAUCAUUAUUCCACACGAGGACCAGGUGUGAGAUACAAUGUUGUACAAGGUUUAAACAAGUUGUAAAAAUACAUUGUAGAAACUAUUGUAAAAAAGAAGAAACCCUUUUUGAAAAUGCAACCAGACUCAAAAUCUGUUUUACAAAAAUUUGAUUUUGAGAAGUUAGCGGAUGAACUGAAAAAAGAAGUACCUAUUUUAUGGUCUGUUCUAAAGCAGCUUCAAACCGUAAAGAGGAUAAUGAUAAAUUGAAUGAUGUAAGAAUGUCAAUGGCUGUGGCUAUAAUUCUUCACAGCAAAAUGUCAAUCAAUUAAUUUUUCUCAACAAAUCCUAGGAAUGUAUCUUUACAAAAAGUAAUAAACUCAAGAAAAGAGGUUUUAGAAUCCUUCUACAUUUAGGUUUGACUGUAUCCUACAGUACUUUAAAUAAAAACCGUAAAAGAUUGGAGUGAGGAUACUUUACAAGAGAUGGUCAACAUUUCUGAUAAGCUUCUUGGUGAGGAAACUAAAAAAUGAAGAACUUGAAAAAGAAAAAGAUAGUAAUGAUUUCAUGGAAGAUGAAAGGUAUAUAGAAAGACCUGAAAUCAGAGAGGUUGUGGAAGAACAACCAAAAUUCAUCUUAUAGACAAACAAAGCCUUUAUACUGAAGAAAUAAAUCCAUUAAAGGCAAUUGAAAAAGAGGCUUUGGACAUUAACGAAGAAAAUUUAUGUACUCAAGAUAUAACAUAAUUUCUACAGGAGCCAACUUAACAUUUGACGAAAGUUUCAGCCAUGCAGCAACCAAUCAUAACUGGUUGUUGCCUGAAGGAGGGAAAGGGCUAUCUAGAACCUAACAAUGAUAGCAGAAAAAUAAGCCAAACACCAGAAGAUAAUGGACAGUAUGUUUACAGAAGCUGCAAAAGAAUCUAAAUUCGAAAGUGAAGAUAUUACCAUUCAUAAAGUUUACAUUGCUUGCCCUGGGGUCACAAAAUGAACUUACUGAUGAAGAACUUGGAGACAUGAUAACAACAUGAUAACAUAGAAUUUGAUGAAAAUUGAUAUUGAUAAGACCGAAACCAUUCAUCAAGAUCCAAAAAAUAAUAAUUGGGAUCAUGGUUAUUAGUUCAUAUUGUUUAAACCACCAUAAUCAUUAAUCAUUGAACAUGUACAGGCGAAAAGUUGAUAAACUAACUGCCUUUUUAUCCAUUGUUUAAUGCUAAUUUUAUUUGGUGACCAC
rnacentral:lncRNA from 1 species